AGAGUUUGAUCCUGGCUCAGGACGAACGCUGGCGGCGUGCCUAACACAUGCAAGUCGAACGGAGUUAAGCCCUUCGGGACUUAACUUAGUGGCGAACGGGUGAGUAACGCGUGAGCAACCUACCUUUCAGUGGGGGACAACAGUUGGAAACGACUGCUAAUACCGCAUGAAACUUAUCGGGGGCAUCCCUGAAAAGUCAAAGCUUUAUGUGCUGAAAGAUGGGCUCGCGUCUGAUUAGCUAGAUGGCGGGGUAACGGCCCACCAUGGCGACGAUCAGUAGCCGGUCUGAGAGGAUGAACGGCCACAUUGGGACUGAGAUACGGCCCAGACUCCUACGGGAGGCAGCAGUGGGGAAUAUUGGGCAAUGGGGGAAACCCUGACCCAGCAACGCCGCGUGAAGGAAGAAGGCCUUCGGGUUGUAGACUUCUUUUACCAGGGACGAAGGACGUGACGGUACCUGGAGAAAAAGCAACGGCUAACUACGUGCCAGCAGCCGCGGUAAUACGUAGGUUGCAAGCGUUGUCCGGAUUUACUGGGUGUAAAGGGCGUGUAGGCGGAGGAGCAAGUCAGAUGUGAAAUCCCGGGGCUCAACCCCGGAACUGCAUUUGAAACUGUUUCCCUUGAGUAUCGGAGAGGCAAGCGGAAUUCCUAGUGUAGCGGUGAAAUGCGUAGAUAUUAGGAGGAACACCAGUGGCGAAGGCGGCUUGCUGGACGACAACUGACGCUGAGGCGCGAAAGCGUGGGGAGCAAACAGGAUUAGAUACCCUGGUAGUCCACGCUGUAAACGAUGAAUACUAGGU
rnacentral:rRNA from 1 species